rnacentral:lncRNA from 1 species
GAUUAGGAUUUGGUUAGGGUUUGAUUUAGGGUUUGGAUUAGAGUUUGGACUAGGAUUUGGUUAGGAUUUGAUUUAAGAUUUGGUUUAGGGUUUAGGAUUUGGAUUAGAGUUUAGGAUGGGAUUAGGAUUUGGAUUAGGAUUUGGAUUAGGAUUUGGAUAAGGGUUUAGAAUUUGGUUAGGAUUUGAUUUAGAAUUUGGAUUAGAAUUUGGUUAGAAUUUGAUUUAAGAUUUGGUUUAGGGUUUAGGAUUGGAUUAGGAUUUGGUUUAGGGUUUGAUUUAGGGUUUGGUUUAGGGUUUAGGAUUUGGAAUAGGGUUUAUUUUAAGAUUUGUUUAGGAUUUGACUUAGGAUUUAGGAAUUAUUAGGGUUUAAGAUUUAAUUAGGUUUGGUCUAAAGUUGAGUGAAAUUCAAUAGGGUUUUAACUAGAAUUAAAUUAAGGUUGAAUUGACAUAUAUUUGAGUAAAAUUUGUGAUCAUUCUAAUAUUUCUUUAAGAAUUUUAUUGUUUGUUUGAAAUUUCUUUGAGUUGUUUUGAAUUUGAUUACGUUUGUUUAUUAUUAUUAUAGUCUAAUUAGAGCAUUGUUAGUAUUCUAUUUAGGAUUUUGUUAUCGCAAUUUCUAUUCUUCUUUCUACAGCUAGGUGCCCGGAGCAUUCUCAAGCAAGACUUCACACAUUACGACACCGCUAGUCGAGUUUGCAUAUAACAACACCCUCUAUGCGUCGACUCAAUACACACCAUUCUUUUCUAAUUAUGGGUAUCAUCCGAAGCUUGAUUUAUUGAGUC